rnacentral:lncRNA from 1 species
AUGGGUUUUUCCAGGAGAGAUCAACCUCCCUCCGGGCCCGCCCCCAUCCCACCACAAUCUCCCAGUCCCUUCUCAGGAGCAGGGGAAGCACCGCCCCGCCCCCCAGCCCCAUCCUCCUUCGGGGCUGGAACCCGGCCUGGCCUAACCCCCGGUUUCCAUCCUUCCUUCUAUCCCUCCCGGCAGGGCGGGGCAGGCUGUGCCCUCCUCUCCCCAGCUGGUCAGCGGAGCCCAGAGUCCAGCCGGACAGUCCGGCGCCCCGGCCCGUUCUGGAAGGGCCCAGUGCGGCCCGGCGAGGUGGAGCCCCCGGCCCUUCCCGGCCCGGCGCAGCAGGACGCGGAUGGGCGCCCCUGCGGGGCCGUUGGGCCCGGCUCGGGUUCCCGGGGCGGGGGCGGGGGCGGCGGCCGAGGGGAGGAGGCGGGGAGGGGCCAGGGGCGGCGCCCGCCCGCCCCGCGCCGGCCCCACGCCCUUACCUGUCUUCUCGUGGUCAUAGCCCACCACGAUGAAGUAGUCCGCCAGCCGCGCCAUCGCCGCCGCCGCCCCCGCGCCCGGGAAGCGGGACCCAGUCCCCGUCGCCGCCCUCGCCGCCGCCGCCGCCCGCCUGGCCCGGGAGCGCUCAGCAUUUUCCCUCUACCGGCGGUAGCAGCAGCGGCGGCAGCGGCGGCACUUCAGCCAUGUUUGACAACCGAGGCGCGCUCUGCGCCUGCGCGGGGCGCCGCGCCGCGCGAGACUCGCUCCUCCUCCCGGCUCCUCCCUCUCGUCGGCUUCCCAGCGCUUCCCGGAGCUGCGCAGCCUCAGCCCCGGCGCCCCCUCCCCCCGCGUCUGCGCUCCUCCCCCUCCCGCGCCGGCCUCCCCCAUCUUCCCUUCCCCCUCCCCCGCCUGGGCUGGGAGCAGCUGUGGCUUGCACAGGCCUUUCCUUCCCUCAGCCCACUUGUGGAGCGGGACCCGAGCGGGCUGGGGGGCGGCUCACGAAAAGUCCGCGGCCAAUGGUCUGGAAUCUGCCCCGCCAGGGCUUUUGCUGCUCGUUUCCUGUUUACGUUGCGCGGCCAAGCUUUCAGAGACCUUUGA